UAGGUGGUUUCCUGCACAUCUGCCUGUGGCUGGGGUCACUCCGCGCGGGCACUGCGGCUUUUGUCCGCAUCUGGACAACUGGAUG
rfam:Tursiops truncatus cont1.211794, whole genome shotgun sequence.